ACGAACGCUGGCGGCAGGCUUAACACAUGCAAGUCGAACGCAUCCUUCGGGGUGAGUGGCAGACGGGUGAGUAACGCGUGGGAACGUGCCCUUCAGUUCGGGAUAACCCAGGGAAACUUGGGCUAAUACCGGAUACGUGCGAGAGCAGAAAGAUUUAUCGCUGAAGGAUCGGCCCGCGUCUGAUUAGCUAGUUGGUGGGGUAAUGGCCCACCAAGGCGACGAUCAGUAGCUGGUCUGAGAGGAUGAUCAGCCACAUUGGGACUGAGACACGGCCCAAACUCCUACGGGAGGCAGCAGUGGGGAAUAUUGGACAAUGGGCGCAAGCCUGAUCCAGCCAUGCCGCGUGAGUGAUGAAGGCCUUAGGGUUGUAAAGCUCUUUCGUCCGGGACGAUAAUGACGGUACCGGAAGAAGAAGCCCCGGCUAACUUCGU
rnacentral:rRNA from 1 species